CAUUGAUCCUGCGCCCUGAAUAAUAUGUGUCCCGUAUUCCAAACGAGCAAGUUUACGCCGUCCGACGCGUAAUUAUGAAAACCUAGGUUCUCUGAGAACCUAGGUUCUCAGAGAACCUAGGUUUUCAAAGAACCUAGGUUCUCAAGAGAACCUGGGUUCUAUGAGAACCUUGGUUCUCAUAAUGAGAACCUAGGUUCUCAUGAGAACCUAGGUUUUCUGAAAACCUAGGUUCUCAGAGAACCUAGGUUCUCAGAGAACCUAUGGUUCCCAAAUGAAAACCACGGAUAUGGCAAGCAGUUCGACGCAUAAUCCCAAGAAACUAGGUUUUUCAUGAGAACCUAGGUUCUCAUUUGAAAACUUUGGUUCUUGACGCCAUGUGCA